AUGCAUGAUACAAGUGUGCUAUUUCAUGCAAUUGAAAAUGACAAGGCCACAUUCCCACAUCCUCCCAACGGCAAGUAUUACCUUGUAGACGCCGGCUAUCCUAAUAGGGAUGGCUAUCUAGCACCAUACAAAGGUGAACGCUAUCACGUCCCCGACUUUCAACGAGGUGCACCCCCAACUACUCCUGUAGAGAAGUUCAACCGUAUCCGCUCCUCCAAGCGCAAUACCAUAGAGAGAACCUUUGGUGUGUGGAAGAUGAAAUGGAAAAUCUUGCUCAAGAUGCCAAACUAUUCGAUUCAAACACAAAAGAUGAUAAUUGCGGCUACCAUGACACUACACAACUAUGUCCACCUCCAUGACAAAGAGGAUAUCCACUUUCUUCGGUGUCAGAGGGAUCCAGAUUAUGUCCCAACUAUUCCAGAGAGAUACAAGAAGUAUGUUAUUGAGAUACAAGAAGUAUGUUAUUCCUCCAAAUGCAUCGGAUUCUUCAACACCGGCGGAAAGUGGUCCUAA
rnacentral:rRNA from 1 species